rnacentral:rRNA from 1 species
AGAGUUUGAUCCUGGCCCAGGAUGAACGCUGACAGAAUGCUUAACACAUGCAAGUCGAUUCAAGUUACCUUCGGGUAAUGAGGAUGGCGGACGGGUGAGUAACGCGUAAGGAACUUGCCUCUUGGUCUGGGACAACUGUUGGAAACGACAGCUAAUACCGGAUAUUAUGAGAUUCUCGCAUGGGAAACUUAUGAAAGCUAUAUGCGCCAAGAGAGAGCCUUGCGUUCCAUUAGCUAGUUGGUGGGGUAACGGCCCACCAAGGCGACGAUGGAUAGCCGGCCUGAGAGGGUGAACGGCCACAAGGGGACUGAGACACGGCCCUUACUCCUACGGGAGGCAGCAGUGGGGAAUAUUGGACAAUGGGCCACAAGCCUGAUCCAGCAAUUCUGUGUGCACGAUGAAGGUCUUCGGAUUGUAAAGUGCUUUCAGUUGGGAAGAAGAAAGUGACGGUACCAACAGAAGAAGCGACGGCUAAAUACGUGCCAGCAGCCGCGGUAAUACGUAUGUCGCAAGCGUUAUCCGGAUUUAUUGGGCGUAAAGCGCGUCUAGGCGGAAAAAUAAGUCUGAUGUUAAAAUGCGGGGCUCAACUCCGUAUUGCGUUGGAAACUGUUUUUCUAGAGUACUGGAGAGGUGGGCGGAACUACAAGUGUAGAGGUGAAAUUCGUAGAUAUUUGUAGGAAUGCCNAUGGAGAAGUCAGCUCACUGGACAGGUACUGACGCUAAAGCGCGAAAGCGUGGGGAGNAAACAGGAUUAGAUACCCUGG